rnacentral:rRNA from 1 species
AUGCAAGUCGAACGGAGCACCCUUGACUGAGGUUUCGGCCAAAUGAUAGGAAUGCUUAGUGGCGGACUGGUGAGUAACGCGUGAGGAACCUGCCUUUCAGAGGGGGACAACAGUUGGAAACGACUGCUAAUACCGCAUGACGCAUUUUGAUCGCAUGGUCGGAAUGCCAAAGAUUUAUCGCUGAAAGAUGGCCUCGCGUCUGAUUAGAUAGUUGGCGGGGUAACGGCCCACCAAGUCGACGAUCAGUAGCCGGACUGAGAGGUUGACCGGCCACAUUGGGACUGAGAUACGGCCCAGACUCCUACGGGAGGCAGCAGUGGGGAAUAUUGGGCAAUGGGCGCAAGCCUGACCCAGCAACGCCGCGUGAAGGAAGAAGGCUUUCGGGUUGUAAACUUCUUUUAAGUGGGAAGAGCAGAAGACGGUACCACUUGAAUAAGCCACGGCUAACUACGUGCCAGCAGCCGCGGUAAUACGUAGGUGGCAAGCGUUGUCCGGAUUUACUGGGUGUAAAGGGCGUGCAGCCGGGCAUGCAAGUCAGAUGUGAAAUCUCAGGGCUUAACCCUGAAACUGCAUUUGAAACUGUAUGUCUUGAGUGCCGGAGAGGUAAUCGGAAUUCCUUGUGUAGCGGUGAAAUGCGUAGAUAUAAGGAAGAACACCAGUGGCGAAGGCGGAUUACUGGACGGUAACUGACGGUGAGGCGCGAAAGCGUGGGGAGCGAACAGGAUUAGAUACCCUGGUAGUCCACGCUGUAAACGAUGGAUACUAGGUGUGCGG